UACGGAGGGUGCGAGCGUUGUCCGGAAUCACUGGGCGUAAAGGGCGCGUAGGCGGCCCGCGCAAGCGUGCGGUGAAAGCCCGGGGCUCAACCCCGGGUCGGCCGUGCGGACUGCGGGGCUCGAGCACUGUAGGGGCAGAUGGAAUUCCGGGUGUAGCGGUGGAAUGCGUAGAGAUCCGGAAGAACACCGGUGGCGAAGGCGGCGUUCUGGACUGUUUCUGACACUGAAUAACGAAAGCCAGGGGAGCAAACGGG
rnacentral:rRNA from 1 species